rnacentral:rRNA from 1 species
CCUACGGGAGGCUGCAGUAGGGAAUCUUCCACAAUGGGCUAAAGCCUGAUGGAGCAACGCCGCGUGGGUGAAGAAGGUCCUCGGAUCGUAAAACCCUGUUGUUAGAGAAGAAAGUGCGUGAGAGUAACUGUUCACGUUUCGACGGUAUCUAACCAGAAAGCCACGGCUAACUACGGGCCAGCAGCCGCGGUAAUACGGAGGGGGCAAGCGUUAGCCGGAUUUAUUGGGCGUAAAGGGAACGCAGGCGGUCUUUUAAGUCUGAUGGGAAAGCCUUCGGCUUAACCGGAGUAGUGCAUUGGAAACUGGGAGACUUGAGUGCAGAAGAGGAGAGUGGAACUCCAUGUGUAGCGGUGAAAUGCGUAGAUAUAUGGAAGAACACCAGUGGCGAAAGCGGCUCUCUGGUCUGUAACUGACGCUGAGGUUCGAAAGCGUGGGUAGCAAACAGGAUUAGAUACCCGUGUAGUC